GAUGAACGCUCGCGAUAGGCUUAACACAUGCAAGUCGAGGGGUAACGUGUUGGAAGCUUGCUUCCGAUGACGACGACCGGCGGAUGGGUGCGUAACGCGUAUGCAACUUGCCUCACAGUGGAGAAUAACCCGGAGAAAUCCGGACUAAUACUCCAUACACUCUUAAGUACGCCUGUACAUGAGAGGAAAGAUUUAUCGCUGUGAGAUAGGCAUGCGUCCUAUUAGGUAGUUGGUGAGGUAACGGCUCACCAAGCCGACGAUAGGUAGGGGUGCUGAGAGGCAGAUCCCCCACAUUGGGACUGAGACACGGCCCAAACGCCUACGGGAGGCAGCAGUGAGGAAUAUUGGUCAAUGGAGGAAACUCUGAACCAGCCAAGUCGCGUGAAGGAAGAAUGUCCUAAGGAUUGUAAACUUCUUUAGCGAGCGAGUAAGGACUUCCACGUGAUGGGAGUUUGAAAGUAGCUCGAGAAUAAGUAUCGGCUAACUCCGUG
rnacentral:rRNA from 1 species